rnacentral:rRNA from 1 species
GGCCUGAGAGGGUGAUCCCCCACACUGGUAUUGAAACACGGCCCAGAUUCCUACGGGAGGCUGCAGUGAGGAAUAUUGGACAAUGGGUGAGAGCCUGAUCCAGCCUUCCCGCGUGAAGGACGACGGCCCUAUGGGUUGUAAACUUCUUUUGUAUAGGGAUAAACCUACCCUCGUGAGGGUAGCUGAAGGUACUAUACGAAUAAGCACCGGCUAACUCCGUGCCAGCAGCCGCGGUAAUACGGAGGGUGCAAGCGUUAUCCGGAUUUAUUGGGUUUAAAGGGUCCGUAGGCGGAUGUGUAAGUCAGUGGUGAAAUCUCACAGCUUAACUGUGAAACUGCCAUUGAUACUGCAUGU